rnacentral:lncRNA from 1 species
UGAUAACCCAUAGCUUUAAUGAGAGACUGAGAUUAAUUUCUUUCAAAUUAUGGUAUUAAUCAAAGUCCCCCUUCCAAAAAAAUACCUCUUUAUACUUUCAUCACGCAUAUAAUUUCUUACCUUUGCUCCAAGGUAUUUGAAAUACAAAUCGGCUCACUCAAUCCCCCACCAUAAGAUUUUGAGCUUCCUAUAGGCAUCUCCAACUUGCAAUGUCAUCUGAAACAAGAACCCUAACCCUCGACCUCAGAGAAUGGUUUUUCU